rnacentral:rRNA from 1 species
UACGGAGGGGGCUAGCGUUGUUCGGAAUUACUGGGCGUAAAGCGCACGUAGGCGGCUUUGUAAGUCAGAGGUGAAAGCCCGGAGCUUAACUCCGGAAUUGCCUUUGAGACUGCAUCGCUUGAAUCCAGGAGAGGUGAGUGGAAUUCCGAGUGUAGAGGUGAAAUUCGUAGAUAUUCGGAAGAACACCAGUGGCGAAGGCGGCUCACUGGACUGGUAUUGACGCUGAGGUGGCGAAAGCGUGGGGAGCAAACAGG